GAACUCGCUUCGGCGGUUCAUAUACUAAAAUUGGAACGAUACAGAGAAGAUUAGCAUGGCCCCUGCGCAAGGAUGACACAGCCGGCACGGUAACUCAGCGUGUUCGG